UGACCACUCUCCACGCCGGGAGCAACGAGCUGGGUAUCUUUUCGACGAAGACAAACACUUACAUUGACAUUUUGUAAUUCAUAGGACAUUCACAUAUAAAUGAAAGACUAAUAAUGUAAUGGAUUCUGUGUCUUGUGUUUCAGAAUUAAGAGCCAGCCACGAGGGAAGUAUUCAGGCGCAGGCAAAUCCAAUAUCACGGAGGUGUCCAAAUACCUCGUUCCUCUCAUGCCCCCACAACUUGACCCCCAGACACACAUAUCACCUCAAACUCUCCCCAGGCAGACAUAUCGUCCACCCACAUCCUCUAAAGAGUAACUUCAAACACAUCAGAUUUGGUCCAAAAUGUCUACACAAUUCCUGUGCCUAUGAUGUCUGCAAUGUCAUGAAGGGAACGCACUAUCCCUGUGAAAACCUGAAAUCGUGUGUGGGCAGGUAGAAGAGGAUGGAAGUCUAUGUGAGCUUGCUGUUAGUUUUGGUUGAAGUUGUACAAGGUGACACUUUAACAGUUAUACAAUAAUUUUUGUCUUUUAUGUUUUUGUAAUAUGCCAUGAAAUUUUAAAACAUAUUCUCAGAUCAGUCAUUACAAAAUGGUGUUUGCUGACAUGUCUGAAAUUGGCUGGAUAAACUGUAAGUGAAUUAUGUUUGAUGUCCUUGUGGUUC